rnacentral:lncRNA from 1 species
AAAAAAGGGGCAAAUUCUUCAUUUAAGCAGCCACAUCGUUACCGGAAAACUCAUCUCAAUCAAGAGCACGGUUUUACAUUCAAACUGAAAGCAUUAAAAGGAAAAAUUGGUAAUACUAAGACAAUGUCCUAACAAUGUCCUAGCAAUUAAAAGGAAAAAUUGGUAAUUCUAAACCUAUAUCAUUACAAAUCAAAACCAUUUGGAUCGCAUAUCUGGAAGAGCCACAUGAUGGGGAAACCACAGGUCAUUGAAACAUCACAACGUUCCCUUCUACCUGAUGAGAUGAGUUCCU